rnacentral:rRNA from 1 species
GUUGAACGCUGGCGGCAUGCCUUACACAUGCAAGUCGAACGGCAGCAUGAUCUAGCUUGCUAGAUUGAUGGCGAGUGGCGAACGGGUGAGUAAUACAUCGGAACGUGCCCUGUAGUGGGGGGUAACUAGUCGAAAGAUUAGCUAAUACCGCAUACGACCUGAGGGUGAAAGUGGGGGGCCGCAAGGCCUCAUGCUAUAGGAGCGGCCGAUGUCUGAUUAGCUAGUUGGUGAGGUAAAGGCUCACCAAGGCGACGAUCAGUAGCUGGUCUGAGAGGACGAUCAGCCACACUGGGACUGAGACACGGCCCAGACUCCUACGGGAGGCAGCAGUGGGGAAUUUUGGACAAUGGGGGCAACCCUGAUCCAGCAAUGCCGCGUGUGUGAAGAAGGCCUUCGGGUUGUAAAGCACUUUUGUCCGGAAAGAAAUCGCACUUACUAAUAUUAGGUGUGGAUGACGGUACCGGAAGAAUAAGGACCGGCUAACUACGUGCCAGCCGCCGCCGUAACAC